UGAGGAAUAUUGGUCAAUGGCCGAAGGGCUGAACCAGCCAAGUCGCGUGAGGGAAGACGGCCCUACGGGUUGUAAACCUCUUUUGCCGGGGAGCAAAGGCGGUCACUGGUGACCUGAUGAGAGUACCCGGAGAAAAAGCAUCGGCUAACUCCGUGCC
rnacentral:rRNA from 1 species